rnacentral:rRNA from 1 species
CGGACAGCUCUGCGGUCUCCUGAUCAGCCAUGCCGCGUGAGUGAUGAAGGCCUUUUGGUUUUUAAACUCUUUUUGCGAGGAGGAAGCUUACCGGGAUAGUACCUGGGAUAAGUGGACGUUACUCUCAGAAUAAGCACCGGCUAACUCUGUGCCAGCAGCCGCAGUAAU